rnacentral:lncRNA from 1 species
AAUAUGUUAAUUUCAGGCAGCAUUCCCUAUGGGAAAGGUGAUACCAGCUCUGAUAUGCAAAGCAUAUGAUAAUUUAUCAUUCUAACUUCAACAUAUAAUAGGGAUUGUGACCUGAUAUUUGGAGAUGUAAAUAUUGCUCAGCAUAUUAAUCCUGAUGGAAUAUAGCAUUGUAGUUGACUUUUUAAAAAAAAAAAACAAAAACUUAAAAAAAAACAACAACAAUAAAUUGUGUUUUGAUGAGAAAAGGCUGCAGCUGACUGAGGAGAAGUCAGGUGUGCACGAAGCAGGCUCCUAACGGGUCAGGGGAUCCUGUUCAGGAGGAGUGAGAACUUCGGAAGAGUUUAAAUCUAUUGCUUUAAAUUGGAAGACAUUGGAGGCACUGGGAUGUGAUAUGCCUCUCUCUCUCCCAAUCAACGUCUGUUGAUGUUACAACAGGCACAGAUGUGUUAGAUGCUCACUAGAGUUUAUGUCUUAUAUUAAAUUGUAUACAGUUUUUAUUCUAACCACUAACUAGGUAGUAUGCCCCUUCAGAACAAGCAGAGUGUAUCUUUUCCCCCUCCUUCUGUUUAAUCAAGUAUUGUGCAGAUUUGUUCAACUUUGUAAAUAUGGACAUCACUUUUUUUUUUCCUUUGGAAAAAAAAAAACAACAACAAGCCCUUGUAUCCGCUUUCUGGAGUUUCCAGGGAGGCAGCUGUCUGCAUGCUCCGUGGAAGCCCUGCAGUGAGUGUGCACGCUGAGACUGUGCUUUUUGUUUCUUAGCGGGAAGCUUUAUCCCUGUACAUACAGUAGAAACCAGAAGCUAGGGAAACAGAGACUCUAUGCCAUCACGCCACACUUCAUGUUUUCAAAGCAUCAUGUUAGAGAACAGUUUGUUCAAACCAAGAGGUUGUAAUUGUUUUUUACAUUGCAAUAUGUUUUGGGUCUUUUUCAUUUUUAAUCAUGCAGUUAAGAGAUAUGGGAAUGAGUUUUAGCCCUGCAGAAUGCAUGCAGGACUGUCACAGAAGAUGACUUCCGUUUGUUUAUACCCCACUGUGUCAGUACAAACAUCAAAAUACCAUACGUCUGAGGCAGACUUCCUACAUCAGGGACAGGUAUCUGUGUGUCAUUAUACAAAACAGUUCUAGGGGGAUGAACUACAUAGUAAAAAAAAAUUAAAAUAAAUAGUACCUAGUGUAAAAUAAUUUUAUAAAUGAUCUUUUGUACUUUAGGACAUUAAAUUGUACAACUUUUGUAUAUAAAAAGCUUAGGAACUUUCUGUUUAGCAGGAAGGCAACACAUUCCUACACUUUUAAUGUAUAUGUUUGUUAUAAUGUCCAUGUAAACAUGCCCUAUGUUUGUGCCUUUUAAUUAGUUUGUCUCAAUAAACAAAAUGUAGAGAAAAAUAUGUAGCUAUGACUUUGUUACAACAGUUCUUCUCCACAGUGGAAAAAUGGUUUGUUUUUAAGUGUAGACCAUUAUGUGUGAGCUCCAGCAAGGGCUCAUGGGGGAAGGCCUAGGAAUGGCACUGCGGAGACCCGGGAGGGCAGCGGUCACAUGUGGAGGAAACCUUCAUUUCCUGGCAUGUGCUCUGCUCGUCGGGCCUUGUCAUCUCUGUUGUGCUGGCAGUCAUGGUCCUUAUGGUCAGAUAACCCAGGCUUCCUCUACAGUGGCCAAGGAGCAGUCCUCAAAGUGGGCAGGUGUGGGUCCUUCCCCCAGGCUACAGCGUGGUCAUGAGAUCCUGAAAGUAUUAGUUCUUAC